UGGUGGAGUGAUUUGUCUGGUUAAUUCCGUUAACGAACGAGACCUUGGCCUACUAAAUAACUGUAUCUUACUAAGGUGAGAAUACCGUUUCUUAGAGGGACUUUGCAUAUCCAAUGCAAGGAAGUACGAGGCAAUAACA
rnacentral:rRNA from 1 species